rnacentral:rRNA from 1 species
UGCAAGUCGAGCGAGAACCCGCAAGGGGGACAGCGGCGAACGGGGUAGGACAACGUAGGUAACGUACCCUCGGGGCGAGGACAGCCACGGGAAACUGUGGGUAAUACUCGAUAAUGUUCCCUGCCUUGAUUGGCGGGGAACCAAUGGGUGAGAUUCCACCUGAGGAGCGGCUUACGCAGUAUCAGCUAGUUGGUGAGGUAACGGCUCACCAAGGCUACGACACUUAGGGGGUGUGAGAGCAUGGCCCCCACCACUGGCACUGAGACACUGGCCAGACACCUACGGGUGGCUGCAGUCGAGAAUCUUCGGCAAUGGGCGCAAGCCUGACCGAGCGACGCCGCGUGCGGGAUGAAGGCCCUCGGGUUGUAAACCGCUGUCAGAGGGGAUGAAGUGCACGAGAGCUAUCUCUUGUAUUGACAGAGCCUCAGAGGAAGCACGGGCUAAGUNCGUGCCAGCAGCCGCGGUAUACGAACUGUGCGAACGUAUACGGAAUCACUGGGCUUAAAGGGUGCGUAGGCUGUUACCUAAGUCAGGUGUGAAAUCUCUCGGCUCAACCGGGAA